CGCUGCUGCACAUCUAUUUUCAGGUCUCUCCAGAGAUGUUCGAUCGGGUUCAAGUGGAAAGUGGCACUCAAUAAUGGAUUCGCCGCAAACAUAACACUUUGUAUUCAGGACAAAAAUUAUUAGUUGUUAAAUCUGUGUUUGAAAUCCACUGCUCGACUGAAAAACCUUACAUAUAAUUGUAUGUUUGUGAUACAGAGAUGAGAUAGUCAUGCCAUAUCAUGUUAAAGACUAUUACUGCACACAUAGUCCAUGCAAGUCUUAUGCGACUUGUUAAUCACAUUUGUACUCCUGAAGUUCUUCAGGUUUGCAAUAACAAAGGGGUCGAAUACUUAUUGAAUUUCAGCUUUUCAUUUUUAAUUCAUCUAAAAACAUUGUUUCACUUUGACUUCAUGGGGUAUUGUGUGGAGGCCAGUGACAGAAAAAAUCUGAGGAAGCCCGAUGAUCUGGUGGAGACUUAACAGUUUGACGAGCCGGCUGGGCGAACAAGACCUGACGAUCCGACUGAGGGCGUGGGAUGGGCACCUUCCGAGCCAACCGGGGCAAGGAAACCUCUCAAGCCAGUUAGGACGUGGAAGCGCCGAUGAGCUGGCUAGGCACCCCCGGUUCCAUCGGCGGCGACCCUGGUCCGACGUCACCACCAACCGGAAUGCCAGUACUCCCCGAUGCUUCGUGUGAUGGCUUUAGGAUUCUGUAAGGCGUGACGCCGGACAGGAGAAGCAGGCAAUCAUAUGUACCUACGUGGGAAGGAUGGCCAGCCACACAGGAGGGUGAUUUUUACCAAGGAGGAGAAGGAGGCCGUGCUGACCGAGAUGCAUGCUGGCCCUUUCGGAGUGAAGCGCAUGAUUGCCAAAAUCAACCUACACUUAUUCUGACAGGGAAUUGUUUAGGAGGUGGACAGCUGGGCAAAUGAAAUAACCUUUUGUUUGUCAAUCACGUUCUAUUAUAUCUGAAAUUAUUAUGGUUUCAGUGAAUGUCAUAUCAGAGAGCACACAAUGUUUCAAUUUGUCACUUUUUGCUUUAAGGUCAGUAUCCUGUCAAGCCUGCCAGAAGUUUGAGACGGUGAAGACUGUGGCGCAGGAGUUGAAGCCCAUCAAAGUUGUUUCACCAUGGCACAUGAUCAGGAUGGACCUCAUCGGACCCUUCACGAAAUCCAGGAAUGGCAACAGCUGGUGUCUGACAGAGACCAAUCACUGGGUGGAGGCAAUACCCAUUAAGGACGAGACUGGCGAGGCCACUUCCAAGGCAAUGGUGGACAUCUUCAACACCCAUGGUUCUCCUGAGGUCAUCUUGAGUGACCGAAGUCAUGAACGCUGGAACAAUGUACUGAUGUUAUAGGUUAUAUUCUGUCACCAAUGGUUUGGUGGAUGGACCAACAAGACUGCCAUGGGCAAAUCCCUUGACUGGUACCAGGAAUGGUGGGAGAACAAAUUGAAAGAUUUUGCCAUCGACAGCCAUCAAUACCGUUCAGCCCUGCACAACUAACGUGCUGUUUCCCAUUAAACAGCAGCUGAUCAUUGUCUGCAGCCGGCUUUGAUCGUACUCACAAACUUCUACAGAUGCUCAAUCGAGAGCAUCCUGUCGGGCUGUAUCACCGCCUGGUACGGCAACUGCUCCGCCCACAACCGUAAGGCUCUCCAGAGGGUAGUGAGGUCUGCACAACGCAUCACCGGGGGAAAACUACCUGCCCUCCAGGACACCUACACCACCCGAUGUCACAGGAAGGCCAUAAAGAUCAUCAAGGACAACAACCACCCGAGCCACUACCUGUUCACCCCACUAUCAUCCAGAA